CAGGCAAGAGCUGCUCAGGCUAGCCAAGGUAACCGCCUAUCAUGGAACUCAUCUGAAACCAGCCAUGGAAUAACCGGGGCUUCUGAAAGAGCAUAUAGGCAAGUCAUCCUUGGCUACCAGACGAGGCGGGCUCUGGCCC
rfam:Triticum aestivum genome assembly, contig: Triticum_aestivum_CS42_TGACv1_scaffold_158489_2DL